CAGUGCUGCAUGGCUGUCGUCAGCUCGUGUUGUGAAAGUGUUGGGUUAAGUCCCGCAACGAGCGCAACCCUUAUCCUUUGUUGCCAGCGGUCCGGCCGGGAAACUCAAAGGAGACUGCCAGUGAUAAACUGGAGGAAGGUGGGGAUGACGUCAAGUCAUCAUGGCCCUUACGACCAGGGCUACACACGUGCUACAAUGGCGCAUACAAAGAGAAGCGACCUCGCGAGAGCAAGCGGACCUCAUAAAGUGCGUCGUAGUCCGGAUUGGAGUCUGCAACUCGACUCCAUGAAGUCGGAAUCGCUAGUAAUCGUGGAUCAGAAUGCCACGGUGAAUACGUUCCCGGGCCUU
rnacentral:rRNA from 1 species